AGGAAGAAGAACGAGUCCAUGAAGAAGACAAACGGACGUAGUUGAACGGAUCCUCACAAACUCGACGUUACCGGAACCAACCCGAAGAAGCAAUCACCGGAAAAGAAGCACACAACAUAGUAAACAACCAACACAUCAACAUGGCAUGAUGCACAAUCAAGUAUGAUGCAUGUCCGGUUUAAAGAGGCAUGGCAUGGCAAAAUGCACAAACAAUCCUACAAAUUAAGUGGAGCUCAAUAUGCAACGAGUUGCAUAUUGACGAAACACCACAUGACUUAUUUAGUUCGAUCUCGUUUAUGUACCCAACAAUAUUAAAUGUUGAUUAACAUGGCAAGAGGUGAACCACAACAAAACUACCUAUCUAGGCAAGUUUAAAUGAGGCCGGAAGCAACGAACAACAAUUCUGGAAAAUCCUCAUAUGCAUAAUUUAAGGUUUGGUACUGUUCUUCCCUAAACAUAAUUUUAGAGUUGUUUAACAUGUAAAGUAAGGUCACCAUGAUAAACUAGGCAAAAUUCUACCCCAUUUACAUAUAAAGAUUAUUUAAAUCGGAGCUACGGUUAUUUAGUUAUGAAUUAAAUCAUAUUAGCAUGGCAUAGGAGCAAAUUAAUGCAAACAACAUUUUAAACAUUUUAAACAUGGAUGAAAGUUGGAUAUUAUUAAUCUACACAAAAUUCUAAGCAAGUUUCAUAUAUAAAUCAUUUUAAUCCGAUGCACGGUUGUGAAGUUAUUAUAUGCAUGAAAAAUAGGGACUAUACUGCAAAACUGGCUGUCUCAGGAUAAUUGGAAAAAAAACGCAGGCGCUGAAAAAAAUACAUCACGGGCCGAAUCUGAGGCAAGCCCACAGCAGGAAGGAAAAAAACAAUAGAGGCGGCGCUGGUGGUUGCUCACCCAUGGGCCUGGCCCAGUCGGAGGGGAAGAGGCAGGCCGGAAGGGCGGCUGGGGAUGGGCCUGGCGCUGCGGAUCUGGCCCGGCUGGAGUUGGCCUGGAAGACCAAGGCGGCGCUGGGCCUUGGCGCAUCGGCCCAUGCGGGGAUGAGGCAGAAGCAGGCCGAGGCGGGGCGCGGAUCUGGAGCUGGGCUGGACUCGGGGCCCGCGAAGAAGUCAACGGAGGCGCUCGGCUCCUCCCGAUCGGAUCGGGGAAGGCAGGGCGAGGCGUAGAACCAUGGCGACGGCGGCGGGCCCCCGGCAAGGGUCGACGGCGGCGACAGCGCCGGAGAGCGAGGUCCGGUGAGGCGGCAGGAAACGGGCGGAUCCGGCGGGGCUCGGCUCCCCGGGGCCGGAUCAGGCACAACGGAGGCGCUGGGAGUAGCGGCUCCUGCCUGGACGAGGCUUGGCGAGCUCCGGCGAAGUCCGGGUGGCCGGUGAAGAAUAGGCGGCGGGCGGCGGACGGCGUCGGGGAGGACGAAGGCGGCUCCUCCCGGGCGGCGGCACGAGGAGCUGGACCCGCGCGGGCCGGUUGCGGGCUCUCUAGGCCCGGCGGCGAAGUGGGGAGGCUGGGCGCUGACAUGGCGCGCGGUGAGUGGAGGGAAGCGGCGGCGGGGCGACGUGUCACGCUCUCAUUGGGCGGAGUGAGGUGGCGCGCGGGGCGGACAUGUCCGGUGCAGCGCGGACGCGUCCGGAUGCGCGGUGGAGGAAGAAGACUAGGGUUUCAUCCGAAAUUUCGGGGAGGGGUGCUCUUUUAUAGGUAGAGGGAGCUAGGAGAGUCCAAAUGAGGUGCGGUCUGCGGCCAUGCGAUCGUGAUCGAACGACCGAGAUGAUGGAGCAGAGUUAGGUGGGUUUUGGACCAAAAAGGAAGGGUGUUGGGCUGCAACACACACGAGGCCUUCUUGGUCCCUCGGUUAACCGUUGGAGUAUCAAACGAAGUCCAAAUGGUACGAAACUUGACAGGCGGUCUACCGGUAGUAAACCAAGGCCGCUUGGCAAGUCUCGGUCCAAUCCGGAAAUGUUUAAUCCCCACACAAGAAAGAAAGAUAGAAAUGACCACCGGAGGAGAACGGAACGCCGGAAUGCAAAACGGACAACGGGGAAAAUGCUCGAAUGCAUGAGAUGAACACGUAUGCAAAUGAAAUGCGCAUGAUGACAUGAUAUGCAAUGCAUGACACGCAAGCAAAGACAAGGCAACAACAGCGAAUAACUGAAUGACAGCUGGCACAUCGGUCUCGGAGCGUUACAACACUCCACCACUACGAGAGGAUCUCGUCCCGAGAUCUAGAAUGGCACCGGAGGGAAAAACGGAAGAGAAAGAGAAGAGGUAAAACAAAUUGCUUCUUUGACAAACGAGUGAAACCACGAACCUUGAGAGGUUGAACAAAUUGAAAGAAAGAAUACAACGAAGAUGAACAAAAUUGAAAACACCCCGUUAGAAACGAGGGACAAAGAGCAUUGCGAAACCUUGAGGUUGAAGGGAAGAUAUAUAUAGAAAAACACUCCGGUUAAGGAAGGGGGUCAAGGGAAACCCAAAAUUCGGGCAGCACUCCAGUUGAAAAGAAAAGGAAUUGAAUAAGGUCUUGAUAAGAUGAGAAGAUACUUGAUGAAAUCACAACACACUGCCACCGGAACUAUUGAAUGAAUGGAACAAGGGGUAAGAAAGAUCUCAGAUAGCACUCCGGUUGAGAAGGGAGUCAAAAUUUGAUAAGAUGAGAGAGCUCAAAUGAAAACACGACACUCCAGUUGAGAAAGGGAUGCAAGACUUGAUAAGGCGAAAAGAACUUGAACAAAGGGGCACAAUACUCCGGUUAAGCAAGAUAGGGAAGGAAUAAGAGUGAUAUAAUUUGGACAGCACUCCGCCUGUAAAUGGAAGGAAUUGAACAAGACAAGAUGAGAGGAUACUUGAAAAGAGGACACAACACUCCAAUUAAAAGGAUAGGCACGACAAGAACACGAUCCUGAUAAAACAAGAAGAUGGGUUGAAGAGAGAAACAUCACCAUGCCUCCGGAACAAAAGAGUAGAGUAAAGAUAAUUGAGACAAGCGAAUGUAGAAGACAAUGCCAACUUCUGCUACAAAAGAUCCUGAAAAGGCAUCUCUAGGAGAAGGGUUGAAUGGAGUUGUUGGAAAACCAAUAACGAAAAUAAUAAGCUUGAUAUGGUCUUAUGGAAUACCUCUCAAAUUAAGAGAUGAAAAACCUGCCACUCACGGGAAAAGAAUUGGAUUGACAAGAACAAGGAGACGAGAAGGCUAUAUUACCGGGAGGAUAAAAGAAGAACUUGGGUCAUUUAUAAGCACCAUAAAUAGCAACAAUCCUUAGAGAAUGCUUUAGGUGAAAUAUAACCCAAGAUAACUCCAAUGACGAGAUUGAUGGAUUUAAAAUACCUCAUUCUUGAUAACUUGUGAAACACAAAGCACGAAGGGAAAAUUAUCAAGAAUGACAUAAUACCACCUCCAAUGAUACGGUAGAAGGAAAAUGCACUUCGGAAUGCGAGAAGAAGAAAACUUGAGCUCCUUAAAAAAGAAUGUUGAUGAACACUUCGAGAAGGAAUUAAAUCCUUGAUGAACCACCAUGUAGAACCUUCAUGAAGAACUCCGGUAAUGAAAGAAUGAUCCAAAAUAAUUGAAUGAUGGAAAGAAUAAGAUUGAAGCCUCGCAAUGAUUAGAUGGAUCUUCAUGAUGAUGAAAGCUUGGAACUCUGGGAACAUAAAAGAUGAAACAAAUGAAAUUGAGAAUUUUGAUGAACCUCCGGAAUAAGGAAUUAAUCACUUGGAUGAACAAGAAUAAUAAUUAUGUUAUGCAUAUCCUUCACCAAUUAAAUUGAUGACAAUCAACGGAUUUGACAUAUUACUUAUUCUCGUAGAAAGGAUUAAGAUGGAUAUAGCGCAACUUGAGAAAGCCUUCAACGAAACACCGGUGGAAUCGAAACAACGAAUGCAUCGAUAUGAUAACGAAAGAAGAGGAAUCUUGCACGAACCACCGUAAGAAAUGAAAAUGAGCGAAGAAAAGAUAAAGGGACAAUGGGAAAAAUUAGCAAAUGGAUGAAGAUGCUUGAGAGAAUUUAGAUGGAGUUUAAUAUAAUAGAUCAUGGACCGAUUAGAGAUCACCUGAACGCUGCACCGGUAUGAUUUAGAGUAUGAGAGCUGAAAGCUGGAAUGAAUAAGUCUUCUUAAAUGAUGGGCUCUAGAUGAACAAACUGAAAAGUCUCCUGAGUUACUCCGGAUGGUUGAAAAGAAUAUCUCACAAUCGCAAAUAAUUAUGAGAGGAUGGCAACAAGCUAGAAUCACGAAUCUUGAAGAGAUUGGAGCAAGAUUAAAGAGAAACUCUUCUUCGGUCUUCAAAUGUUGAGAAUGACAACAAGAAACACGACCAUGAAUUAUUGAGGCACUCCGGAAGAAUCAAAACGAAGAGGUUGAGUCAACGAUGAAAAGAAUUUAACCGAUCUUGGAGAAAUACAUUUGACUGAUGAUAAUUCAUUCUUACGUCAAACUUUAAAAGAUUUGAGAAUAGCUCCGGUAAAAAUUAGAAGAGUCAGGUAAGAUCCUGGAAAAAGACCUGUGGGUUAGGGCCCACUCAAAAGAAAACACCGUUGAAAUGAUUAAAAAGAGAGGUUGCACCAGUUGAAUUAAAUGACUUGAAUGAGAUACCAAUCUCGAAAGAGCUUGAACGAAUGCAGAGUGGAAACACGAAUCUUUGAGAUAUCUUGAGCACUCCGGAACAAUUAAAUAGCGAGAAGUGAAUGAAAAUGAGGUGCACCGGCAUGAGAAGCAUUGAAAUGAGGAAAAGACAUGAUCAACAAAGCUUGACUUUAAACCACCGGAGAAGAAAAACGAGUGAAGGUUGACGAACUUGAAGCUCUGUUAGAAUUUUCUUGAGAAUCACCAGAUAAGAAUAUUGAUGGAAAAGAAUGGAGAGGUUUCCAUCAAUGAGAUGAUACUUGAUUAAGAAAUCUGAGUCCUUGAAGAAAAAACAAGGGAGGGAGGGUGGGAAAAACAAAGGCAACUUGGAGACGGAUGAAACAAACACCGUUGAGAAACUUAGAAUUGAUCUUGCGGAUGUUGAAAUGAUCAGAUCCACUUGAAGAGAAAACACGCCGGUUGAAAAGGAUUGGAAAGACAAUCUUGAUGAUCACGAAGUAUUAGUAUUCACAUAGGAUUAUGAGAACACCAUUUGGGGAAGGUAUGGAAUCAACAUUUGACUUCGAAGCAACUCGAAUACCACAACUCAAAAUAAAACCAAGGAUUGGCUUGCAGAAUAAGCCAGAACAAACUUAUGAUAGAGAUUUCGUCCGAAGUUUUUGUGGUGGGACCUACACGGGCUCGAUCGUACAGCACCAUCAUGUACAAGGCAGUGCACUUCAAUCUUCACCUGCAACUAACAACGCUAUAAGAGGGGCUGAGCAAAGCGGUAACAUAGCCAAUCAACGGUUUGCUAGGACAUGGUGGGUUAGAGGUUUGACAUGGCAAUUGGGAGGCUGAGAAGCAAAUGGUAGGCAUCGUAGCAUUGGCAUAGCAAAAGAGCGAGCAAACUAGCAUAGCAAAGAUAGUAGUGAUUUCGAGGGUAUGAUCAUCUUGCCUGAAAUCCCGCAAGGAAGAAGAACGAGUCCAUGAAGAAGACAAACGGACGUAGUCGAACGGAUCCUCACAAACUCGACGUUACCGGAACCAACCCGAAGAAGCAAUCACCAGAAAAGAAGCACACAACAUAGUAAACAACCAACCCAUCAACAUGGCAUGAUGCACAAUCAAGUAUGAUGCAUGUCCGGUUUAAAGAGGCAUGGCAUGGCAAAAUGCACAAACAAUCCUACAAAUUAAGUGGAGCACAAUAUGCAACGAGUUGCAUAUUGACGAAACACCACAUGACUUAUUUAGUUCGAUCUCGUUUAUGUACCCAACAAUAUUAAAUGAUUAACAUGGCAAGAGGUGAAGCACAACAAAACUACCUAUCUAGGCAAGUUUAAAUGAGGCCGGAAGCAACGAACAACAAUUCCGGAAAAUCCUCAUAUGCAUAAUUUAAGGUUUGGUACUGUUCUGCCCUAAACAUAAUUUUAGAGUUGUUUAACAUGCAAAGUAAGGUUACCAUGAUAAAGUAGGCAAAAUUCUACCCCAUUUACAUAUAAAGAUAAUUUAAAUCGGAGCUACGGUUAUUUAGUUAUGAAUUAAAUCAUAUUAGCAUGGAAUAGGAGCAAAUUAAUGCAAACAACAUUUUAAACAUGGAUGAAAGUUGGAUAUUAUUAAUCUACACAAAAUUCUAAGCAAGUUUCAUAUAUAAAUCAUUUUAAUCCGAUGCACGGUUGUGAAGUUAUUAUAUGCAUGAA
rnacentral:lncRNA from 1 species